rnacentral:rRNA from 1 species
GACGAACGCUGGCGGCGUGCUUAACACAUGCAAGUCGAACGGAAAGGCCCUGCUUUUGUGGGGUGCUCGAGUGGCGAACGGGUGAGUAACACGUGAGUAACCUGCCCUUGACUUUGGGGUAACUUCAGGAAACUGGGGCUAAUACCGGAUAGGAGCUCCUGCUGCAUGGUGGGGGUUGGAAAGUUUCGGCGGUUGGGGAUGGACUCGCGGCUUAUCAGCUUGUUGGUGGGGUAGUGGCUUACCAAGGCUUUGACGGGUAGCCGGCCUGAGAGGGUGACCGGCCACAUUGGGACUGAGAUACGGCCCAGACUCCUACGGGAGGCAGCAGUGGGGAAUAUUGCACAAUGGGCGGAGGCCUGAUGCAGCAACGCCGCGUGCGGGAUGACGGCCUUCGGGUUGUAAACCGCUUUCGCCUGUGACGAAGCGUGAGUGACGGUAAUGGGUAAAGAAGCACCGGCUAACUACGUG